AUUGAACGCUGGCGGCAGGCCUAACACAUGCAAGUCGAACGAGUGGCGGACGGGUGAGUAAUGUCUGGGAAACUGCCUGACGGAGGGGGAUAACUACUGGAAAAGGUAGCUAAUACCGCAAACCAUCGGAUGUGCCCAGGUGGGAUUAGCUAGUAGGUGGGGUAAAGGCUCACCUAGGCGACGAUCCCUCGCUGGUCUGAGAGGGUGACCAGCCACACUGGAACUGAGACACGGUCCAGACUCCUACGGGAGGCAGCAGUGGGGAAUCUUGCACAAUGGGCGCAAGCCUGAUGCAGCCAUGCCGCGUGUAUGAAGAAGGCCUUCGGGUUGUAAAGUACUUUCAGCGGGGAGGCGUUACCCGCAGAAGAAGCACCGGCUAACUCCGUGCCAGCAGCCGCGGUAAUAC
rnacentral:rRNA from 1 species